rnacentral:rRNA from 1 species
UUUUCAUCAGACAAUCUGUGUGAGCACUGCAAAGUACGCUUCUUUAAGGUAAGGAGGUGAUCCAACCGCAGGUUCCCCUACGGUUACCUUGUUACGACUUCACCCCAGUCAUGAAUCACAAAGUGGUAAGCGCCCUCCCGAAGGUUAAGCUACCUACUUCUUUUGCAACCCACUCCCAUGGUGUGACGGGCGGUGUGUACAAGGCCCGGGAACGUAUUCACCGUGGCAUUCUGAUCCACGAUUACUAGCGAUUCCGACUUCAUGGAGUCGAGUUGCAGACUCCAAUCCGGACUACGACGCACUUUAUGAGGUCCGCUUGCUCUCGCGAGGUCGCUUCUCUUUGUAUGCGCCAUUGUAGCACGUGUGUAGCCCUGGUCGUAAGGGCCAUGAUGACUUGACGUCAUCCCCACCUUCCUCCAGUUUAUCACUGGCAGUCUCCUUUGAGUUCCCGGCCGGACCGCUGGCAACAAAGGAUAAGGGUUGCGCUCGUUGCGGGACUUAACCCAACAUUUCACAACACGAGCUGACGACAGCCAUGCAGCACCUGUCUCACGGUUCCCGAAGGCACAUUCUCAUCUCUGAAAACUUCCGUGGAUGUCAAGACCAGGUAAGGUUCUUCGCGUUGCAUCGAAUUAAACCACAUGCUCCACCGCUUGUGCGGGCCCCCGUCAAUUCAUUUGAGUUUUAACCUUGCGGCCGUACUCCCCAGGCGGUCUACUUAACGCGUUAGCUCCGGAAGCCACGCCUCAAGGGCACAACCUCCAAGUAGACAUCGUUUACGGCGUGGACUACCAGGGUAUCUAAUCCUGUUUGCUCCCCACGCUUUCGCACCUGAGCGUCAGUCUUUGUCCAGGGGGCCGCCUUCGCCACCGGUAUUCCUCCAGAUCUCUACGCAUUUCNNNNNNNNNNNNNNNNNNNNCCCCCCUCUACAAGACUCAAGCCUGCCAGUUUCGAAUGCAGUUCCCAGGUUGAGCCCGGGGAUUUCACAUCCGACUUGACAGACCGCCUGCGUGCGCUUUACGCCCAGUAAUUCCGAUUAACGCUUGCACCCUCCGUAUUACCGCGGCUGCUGGCACGGAGUUAGCCGGUGCUUCUUCUGCGGGUAACGUCAAUUGCUGCGGUUAUUAACCACAACACCUUCCUCCCCGCUGAAAGUACUUUACAACCCGAAGGCCUUCUUCAUACACGCGGCAUGGCUGCAUCAGGCUUGCGCCCAUUGUGCAAUAUUCCCCACUGCUGCCUCCCGUAGGAGUCUGGACCGUGUCUCAGUUCCAGUGUGGCUGGUCAUCCUCUCAGACCAGCUAGGGAUCGUCGCCUUGGUGAGCCGUUACCUCACCAACAAGCUAAUCCCAUCUGGGCACAUCUGAUGGCAAGAGGCCCGAAGGUCCCCCUCUUUGGUCUUGCGACGUUAUGCGGUAUUAGCCACCGUUUCCAGUAGUUAUCCCCCUCCAUCAGGCAGUUUCCCAGACAUUACUCACCCGUCCGCCACUCGUCAGCAAAGCAGCAAGCUGCUUCCUGUUACCGUUCGACUUGCAUGUGUUAGGCCUGCCGCCAGCGUUCAAUCUGAGCCAUGAUCAAACUCUUCAAUUUAAAAGUUUGAUGCUCAAUGAAUUAAACUUCGUAAUGAAUUACGUGUUCACUCUUGAGACUUGGUAUUCAUUUUUC